CCUACGGGUGGCAGCAGUGGGGGAUAUUGGACAAUGGGGGGAACCCUGAUCCAGCGACGCCGCGUGAGUGAAGAAGUAUUUCGGUAUGUAAAGCUCUGUCAGUAGGGAAGAAAGAAAUGACGUUACCUGACCAAGAAGCCCCGGCUAACUACGGGCCAGCAGCCGCGGUAAUACGUAGGGGGCAAGCGUUAUCCGGAAUUACUGGGUGCAAAGGGAGCGUAGACGGUUAAGUAAGUCUGGUGUGAAAGGCCGGGGCCCAACCCCGGGACUGCUCUGGAAACUAUUGAACUAGAGUGCAGGAGAGGUAAGUGGAAUGCCUAGUGUAGCGGUGAAAGGCGUAGAGAUGAGGAGGAACACCAGGGGCGAAGGCGGCUUACUGGAAUGUAACUGACGUUGAGGCGCGAAAGCGUGGGGAGCAAACAGGAUUAGAUACCCUUGUAGUC
rnacentral:rRNA from 1 species